AGGAAGUUCUUAGAACAUAGACUCACUCCUUCUGGUGCUCCGUGACUCCCCAAGUCUUGGGGUGGUAGUGGCUUAGUUCCCACGCCGUGCAGAUUCAAGGGGACACUGGACACCAGGUGACCCUGGCUUCAGGAGUUGGCAAGGGAUCUGCCCUAUGCCGAGCAGGAGUUCACCUGGAGUUUACCCAUGUGCUAGUUCCCAUGUCCAAGUUCCAUGCAGCAAAGAGCCACCACUCAGCCACCCCUGGAUGCACUCGGCCUCCUGACCUCAGGAAGGUGGACAAGGGGAAGAGGAAUCGAAUACGAAUUUGAAGAGGAGGGAUUACCUGAAUCUGGAGAUAAACUCAAAUAACAAACAAAACUUGUGCCCAGACCACUGCUUCCUUCAACACCUAAGGCUUUGUAACCAAGCCCAGUGAGGUGAGCAGGAGCUGAUCCAACCAGUCAGGCUGCCUGGAGUGGGUGUUCUCCAGCCCACUACCCAAAGAAGAAAACAGAGGCUACUCAACCUGUGCCCCAGAAGACCACUUUCAACAUGUUACAGGUCAAGAAACUAAUUUCAAAAUGCAUUGGAAUACAUUAUCUUGUGACUCAAGGAGCAGGAGAGAACUUAAACACAGUGCAUCACUAUCAGUAAUAUUUGCUUCUUGGCAUGUGGCUCUGCUCCAAGUUUAACCUUUUCUCUCACAAGCAGAAGGAUGGCAUAAUAACUAACCUUUUGCCCAUUCCUUUAUUCCUGAAGCAUCCAUUCUAUUAUACUGAGCAUUGGUGACUAAGUGAGAAAGUAUGAAGAGGGAAAUAAAGGCAGCAGAGUAAGGUCUACACAAGCUAGAGUGGGUGACACCCCUCACAAACUUUGCCUCCCAGCUUAAAGUUAGCUUCCUCUCUCUGGAUUAGUCGUCCACGGCCUACUGCGUGGUCAUCUCACUGGUCUACCAGCAUCUUCUCUGGCAUGCUUCCAUCCCUUUUCUAUGUGCAGUGUCCAGAGUUUCCCUGUAAAACACAACUUCAGGCCUGUCACCUCUUAGGAUGAAGGCAGGCUCCUUGCCUGGCCCAGCAGUCCCAGUGAGCCUGACUGGGCUGCACGCCCUGGCUUCCGUGGUGCCUCACACUCCAUACCCCUCCCUCCCGACAGCCUCUGCUGUGUGCCUUCGCCUGCGUCACUGUCUCCAAGCCUACUUCUUCUUCCUUGGCUCAGAGAAUUCCUGACCUGAUAGACCAAAUUCCCAUCCAGCACUGUGCACGUUCUUAGCACACAUCACAAUCUCAGUUUUACAUUUACGCAUUUGACCACACUUGAUCCGUCUCCCUGACUAAAAUAUGAGCCCCAUGAGAAUGGCUUCCAUGUCAACAACAGAUCUCCAAGGGCUAGCAUGGCCCCUGGCAUUGAGGAGGCCCCCAGAGAAGGAGUAAAUGAAGGACUGAAUCAAUUUACUGGAAAGUUUACUAGAAGCUAAUUUUUUUUUAAUGCUACAGAAGAGGGUGCUAUGUUUAUACAGCCUUGAAAUCAUUCACCAAUAGUGUAAAGCUCAUUAUUGAAAUACAUACACACACACAUUUUUCAUAUUAGCAAUGAAAUGAUGUCAUGUCUGGUAGGACCCAAAACCUGCACUUCCUGAAUAUUUUUUUAUUAAGUUAUUAUUUAUAUACAAUCUUAGGAAGGUUUAUUG